UUGAACGCUGGCGGCAUGCCUUACACAUGCAAGUCGCACGGUAACAGGUCUUCGGAUGCUGACGAGUGGCGAACGGGUGAGUAAUACAUCGGAACGUGCCCGAUCGUGGGGGAUAACGAGGCGAAAGCUUUGCUAAUACCGCAUACGAUCUACGGAUGAAAGCGGGGGAUCUUCGGACCUCGCGCGGACGGAGCGGCCGAUGGCAGAUUAGGUAGUUGGUGGGAUAAAAGCUUACCAAGCCGACGAUCUGUAGCUGGUCUGAGAGGAUGAUCAGCCACACUGGGACUGAGACACGGCCCAGACUCCUACGGGAGGCAGCAGUGGGGAAUUUUGGACAAUGGGCGAAAGCCUGAUCCAGCCAUGCCGCGUGCAGGAUGAAGGCCUUUGGGUUGUAAACUGCUUUUGUACGGAACGAAAAGCCUCUUUCUAAUAAAGAGGGGUCAUGACGGUACCGUAAGAAUAAGCACCGGCUAACUACGUG
rnacentral:rRNA from 1 species